ACAAACUUGGUCAUUUAGAGGAAGUAAAAGUCGUAACAAGGUUUCCGUAGGUGAACCUGCGGAAGGAUCAUUAACAAAUCCAUCCACGUCGUUGUCGCCAUCCCUUGUGCAUUGCAUCGUGUCAUGUCAUGGUGUGAUGCGAGGGGAGGUGCAACACAUUUGCUCGGUGCGUGCACCACGCGUGCAUGCAUUGUGACAUUUCUGCGAGUCGUCUGAUUGUUGACAAAUGAAUGAAUGAAUGAAUGACUUUUAACAAUGGAUCUCUAGGCUCUUGCAUCGAUGAAGAACGCAGC
rnacentral:misc_RNA from 1 species